AUGGCAAACCUGCACGAAGCCUCCAGGUCCGAGCUCCUCGCAUGUUUGAGAGAAACACGAGCAGAGAAGAGGAGGAGAAGAAAAGCACUUCGGGAGUUUGAGGACAACUUCAGUCGACAGACCGGAAGGACGCCGCAGAAAGAGGAUCGUAUUCCCUUGUCUGACGAGUACCAGGAAUACAAGACCCUGAAAGCCAAGCUACGACUACUGGAGGUCCUCCUCAGCAAACAGGCGGCGUGAAGAAGGGAGACUCUGGGUGCAUUCCAAUAUGCAACCUUGCAAUCCUCCACUUGGGCUUGUGGCCUCAUAUUUUGCUGAUGCCCCGCCUCUGUGGAGAAAACAAUUACGUUUCCCCUGCUGCUGUCAGCCUAGCCACAACAAUUUUUGGGGGACUAUUCCGUCGCCAUCCAGUUUGCAAAUGAGAAAAUUACUUUACAAAUGAGUUUUGCAGGAUAUUGAAAUGUAAUGGUGUUGUCAGUGAUGUCACCACGACGUAUAACUUCCUGGUAUGAGGCCACAAGCACAAGUGGAGGACGCAAGGUCACAUAUUGGAACGCACCCUCUGGCUCUGACUCUAUCUCUCCUGUUUUUUCUUCUUCCUGCCUCUCGUGUAUUCUUUUAUAGAAGAACGAAUUGAAUGAACUCAGUGGUUGGACCAAAA